rnacentral:rRNA from 1 species
CAGCAGUGAGGAAUAUUGGUCAAUGGCCUAAKCGGGCUGAACCAGCAACUUGGAGGAAUGUAUAGCAAUAGCUACUUGCAUCAUUGUAAAAAUGAUGCAGGAUCGACUAUGUCGAAUAAAAUUCUAGGUAGAAUUUUGAUAAUGACAUUGUCUGCCUAUGUGUCUUGACCAAAUUACGUGCCAGCAGUCGCGGUAAUACGUAGAAGACUAGUGUUAUUCAUGUUUAAUCGGUUUAAAGGGUACCUAGACGGUAAAUCAAGCCUAAAAUUAAAUGAAGGGACUAAUUUACUAGAGUUACUUAUGAGGGGGUAUUAAAGUACUGCUGGUGUAGAGAUGAAAUUCUGUCAUACCUCUUUUCAAUAGAAAAAUAAUGGCACAGGUAUAGGCGAAAGCAUCCCCUUAUGUGAUAACUGACGUUGAGGGACGAAGGCUUUGUGUAGCGAACAGGAUUAGAUACCCCAGUAGUCAAAGCAGAAAAUGAUGAAUGUCAUAGAUUAGAUAAAUAAGUUUAUUCUAUAAAUGAAAGUGUAAGCAUUCCACCUCAAGAGUAAUUUGGCAACAUUGGAACUGAAAUCAUUAGACCGUUUCUGAAACCAGUAGUGAAGUAUGUUAUUUAAUUCGAUGAUCCGC